rnacentral:rRNA from 1 species
AUGUCGGUCACCACAAAACUGCGACGAGAAGCCUGGCUAGAAGGCAGAGCAGACCCAUCCAAUACCGAAGGCGAGCAGAAAGCUUGGUCAAAGUUGUGGAAGAUAGAUGUCCCUUCAAAGAUAAAAAUCUUCCUCUGGAGACUAGCCCAGCAGUCUAUCCCAACUUCAGACCUUCUCCAUCACCGUAAUAUGUCUACGGUGACGACAUGCGGACUAUGCGGCAGCGAGGACUCUUGCCAUGCUGCUCGGUGUGUGUGGGCACUGCAGAACCCCGACUUGGUCGAGGCAAUUAACGGCAUCAGGGAGCCUGAUGCUAAACGCUGGGUCUUUGCGGCCAUGGAUACAAUCCCUUCCAAUGAAUUCACUCAAGUUCUGGUCACUCUUUGGGCCAUCUGGUAUGCAAGAAGGCAAGCUUUGCACGAGAAUAUUUUUCAAAGUCCCCAAGCCACACAUGUUUUCAUCAUGAAAUACUUGCAUGAGUUGGAGGCGUGCAAGCCAAAACAGAAAGCUGCUCCGCUACAUGCAGCUCCAAACAGGUCACGCCCAGCUUGGAUUCCUCCUCCGCACGGGGUGGCAAAGAUUAGAGUGGACGGAGCUGUGUCAAGGGCAGCUGUUGAAGGCUCCAUCAGCGCGGUCUGCAGGGACUCGCAGGGACACUACUUAGGCUCCUCAGCUAUGAAGAUCCCGGGGAUGAAUGACCCAGCGACGCUUGAAGCUUUGGCAUGUCGGGAGGCGAUGGCGCUGGCCCUGGAUCUUGGACUCACGCAUGUGGAAAUAGCAUGUGAUAACAAGGGGGUGGUUGGAGACAUCAAUCAAAGAAUAGGAGGAAAUUAUGUUGCGGUAGUAAAGGAGAUAAACCCCACCUUGAAUCAGUUUUAUCAGUGUACUUUCAUUUUCGAGGGUAGAGGGAUAAAUUUAGAGGCACAUAGCCUUGCCAAACAUGUUUUUGGGUUGGGUUUUGGACGCCAUGUAUGGCUACUGAACCCAUCAAAUUUGAGAUGUAUGCCUAUGAACAUUAUUGAGCAAUAA